CACUUGUUCUCUAAAUAGGGACUUGUAUGAAUGGCCACACGAGGGUUUUACUGUCUCUUACUUCCAAUCAGUGAAAUUGACCUUCCCGUGAAGAGGCGGGAAUAUAUUAAUAAGACGAGAAGACCCUAUGGAGCUUUAACUACUUAGCCCAAAAGAAACAAAUUUCAUUACUAAGGAAACAACAACACUCUUUAUGGGCUAACAGCUUUGGUUGGGGUGACCUCGGAGAACAAGAAAUCCUCCGAGCGAUUUUAAAGACUAGACCUACAAGUCGAAUCACACAAUCGUUUAUUGAUCCAAAAAAUUGAUCAACGGAACAAGUUACCCUAGGGAUAACAGCGCAAUCCUAUUCAAGAGUCCAUAUCGACAAUAGGGUUUACGACCUCGAUGUUGGAUCAGGACAUCCCGAUGGUGCAACCGCUAUCAAAGGUUCGUUUGUUCAACGAUUAAAGUCCU
rnacentral:rRNA from 1 species